rnacentral:rRNA from 1 species
GAUGAACGCUAGCGGGAGGCCUAACACAUGCAAGCCGAGCGGUAGAGAUUCUUCGGAAUCUUGAGAGCGGCGUACGGGUGCGGAACACGUGUGCAACCUACCUUUAUCUGGAGGAUAGCCUUUCGAAAGGAAGAUUAAUACUCCAUAAUAUAUUGAUUGGCAUCAAUUGAUAUUGAAAGCUCCGGCGGAUAGAGAUGGGCACGCGCAAGAUUAGUUAGUUGGUGAGGUAACGGCUCACCAAGACGAUGAUCUUUAGGGGCCUGAGAGGGUGAUCCCCCACACUGGUACUGAGACACGGACCAGACUCCUACGGGAGGCAGCAGUGAGGAAUAUUGGUCAAUGGGUGCAAGCCUGAACCAGCCAUCCCGCGUGAAGGACGACUGCCCUAUGGGUUGUAAAACCUUCUUUUGUAUAGGGAUAAACCUACCCUCGUGAGGGUAGCUGAAGGUACUAUACGAAUAAGCACCGGCUAACUCCGUGCCAGCAGCCGCGGUAA